CAAAGGAUAGUUUAAUAGAAGAACGCUAGCUUUGGGAGUUGGUGGUAAGGGUUAAAAUCCCCUUCCUUUGA
rnacentral:tRNA from 1 species